UAGGUUUAGUUGUGUACUUGGUGUUUAUUCAAAAGGACUCAAUUCACACCUCUCCAUUUACCGUAGCUCUGCCUCUCUCUCUCUCUUGAUGCCGAGGUCCUUUCUGAGUUAUCUGUGGUAGACUUGUAGGGCUCCAACAUCGUUUUCAGAUUUGUGGCUAGGCUCCUCUAAAUCUUUAUCCGUUUCGCACUCUCUCUAUUAGAGUUGGAUCUAGAGAUACUUCGCAUUGUUUUCAGAUCUGUGGUAAGCACUUUGUGAAACAUCUUUGUUUGGAUUUGACGUUUUCUAUGUUUCAUGUACUAAAAGCAUAGCUCGCUCGAUUCAGUUGCCUCAAACCUUAGUCUCCUUGCAGCAACUUCUGGAAUAGUGAAACCUUGGAACUCGCCUUCUGCUAAAAUUCUUUGCUCUUCUUCUCUCAUUCUUGUUCCACUUUUCAAUUUCUUCACGUCCUUGCAGUCAUGGGUACCUCUGAUUUUGCAGAAAUGGUAUCUCUCGAUGCUCAAGAGACUUGCCACUGGAUACAAGAAUAAGGUGUGGAGAAAGAAGCUAAAGACUUUGAGAUUUCAAACCACUGAGCUUCUCUCUAUUUUGCUUCAAUACCAGAAAUCUACUUUCUUUUGUGGCUGAUGUUUUCCUGUGGAAGGAUAAGAAGCUAUCAGGAGGUUGAUAAUUGCACAAUGUUAGUCUUAAUUAGUUUUGUUAGUUUAGCAAGAUUGAUACCUGCAUAUACUGAAAGUAUCAGCAAUUCAGCAUUGCAGCAGCUCAUCUCAAGAGAAACAAAUCUGCUCCAAAGUCAAAGUUGGAUUGCCACUGGUGUUCAAGUCAAGCUUUGACAAAGCUAACCGUACAACCUCAAAAUCAUUCCGGGGCCCUGGCAUGGUUGAAGGGUUAAAGGUGAUAAACUGAUAGGCAGCGUUUGUUGUCAUUCAUUUUAAGAUACAACUUGCAUUUUUUGCUAUGCAAAUAAACAUAGAGAAUAUGCUAGAUAUCAGUAAAUUCAUAUAGAUUAUUAGCUACAAUUGGAUUUUGAGGCUUCGAAUUCAGUAUCCAUGAUCAGUUUCCCAUCAUGGUUUGUUCAUGUGUUAUUGCCCUUUAAAGUUCUCUCAUGACAUUUAGUGAUCUAUUUAAGCUUGUAAUAGCUCAGCUGCAAUACUACCAAGACAUACAAAAAUCAUGGCCAAAUUUUUCUGAAGUAGAUUUUCUCUUGUUAUAGUAACUGGAUACGUACAUUUAAUUAUCUACAGAGAUCGUAAAUUUAUUAUUUUAUUUUUCUGGUGUGAUCACUUCUCUUGAUUUUACCCUUUUACUUUCAGAUCCUUAAGAAGGUUAAAAUAGCUUUUGACCUCCCUAUAGUUACAAAUGUACACGAGUUUAUACAGGUGAGCUCGCAUCCUUGUUCAUCUUUUAGAUUCCCAUGUUCAGCAAGCAAAAUUCGCACUGAUCAUAAGUUGUUUCUCACAUUUAUCAAUGUUGUUUUCUUUUCCUAGUGCGAAGAAGUUGGCAAAUUAAGUUGCAGAUAUCAUUCAGAUUCCUGCAUUUUUAUGCCGUCAGGUUAAGUUUAUAUUGAACCCUGUGUACUUUAUCGUGCUCCACCUGCUUUGACGCUCUCUGGUUUUGCUAUUGCAUGCUCUUUCCACACUUUUUGUCUUUUCAAUUUCUAUUUCAAUUCCUUGUCUUUCGCUCCAACUCUUACAUUUGAUUCAAUUAGUUCAUAAUUCUAUGCCUUACCUCUUGCUUCUUGGGGUCCUACACUUCAAUCCUUUGUCUGUUGUCAGUUAAUGUAAGCUUUUCAUGCGUAGCCACUUUUAUGCUCAGCACGUGUAUAUGUCACUCCUCUAUGCAGUAAUUUGCUUUUGAUUUGCUUCUCAAAAGUGUAAAAUUUUCUAAUUGUGAUUGUUAUUCAUUGUCCCUCUGUUCCACUAGAAGAGUUGGACAAUCCUUGGUUGCUAAAACUGGAGCUCUCUCUGCCAAAAGUUACUCUCUGAAGACUCGCUCAGCUGUAUGGUAGACUUAGCAGGAAAAGAUGGCAUUGCGAAGGUUGGGUGUCAGGAAGUGUUUAUAUGCAAUAAAGCAAGGUUUUGUUCCAAUGAGGCCAUGAGAGCAGCAAAGCUUGCAAAGCUAGACUCCUUAAGUAAAUUUCUGGAUGUAUAUUGCUAGGAGAGUACUAUUAGACGUACUCCUUUCGUGUAUAAAAGAUUAGCUUUGCACAAUCUAUUUUGAUGCAUGAUGUAGAUUAUAACAUUUUCUAUAUAUUGAUCAGUUACUGUUAAUUUGGUCAUUUUUGAUUC